UAGGGAAUCUUCGGCAAUGGACGAAAGUCUGACCGAGCAACGCCGCGUGUGUGAUGAAGGGUUUCGGCUCGUAAAACACUGUUGUAAGAGAAGAAUGACAUUGAGAGUAACUGUUCAAUGUGUGACGGUAUCUUACCAGAAAGGAACGGCUAAAUACGUGUCAG
rnacentral:rRNA from 1 species